GCGACUCGAGUCACGAAGAGUCCUGUGACUUGCGAGAGGUGACAUGUAACUAUGAGAAAUUGAAAUAUUUGAUUAUCGAGUAAAUAACAUUGAGUUCCCUAUAUUUUUAUUUUUAGUAAAUAACGAUACAUUAGUUUCAGUUUAUUUCAAAUAGGUUCCUCAUCCUUUGCCAGUGACCAAGUUGUGCAACCCUAACAUCCACAGCACCUCUUUUCGCUUCAAUCAUGACCGGAGCAUCAGAGCUUGAGUCUAUCCUUUUAUGUUCAUCUCCGUCUUGUUCUUCAUCCAUUUUUGCAUCUUCUACAUGAAUGGCUUCUGGUUCUUUGGUUUGAUUUUCUUCUGUGCUGCCUUUUGGUUCUCUCCCUUCGCCGACUUGUUCAGCCACUUUCGUAGUUUCAAUUCUGGAGCUCUGAAGGGGGCCAGUCAAUGAAGCUGUAGCUGAGUCCAUCAAUGCUGAUUCCUCAGUUUUUAUUUCCCCUGAUUCUUGUGGUUGUUGCUCUCCUUCGAGGUUAAUCUUUGCUUUUUGUGGAGUUUCUGUGGUUCCUUAUUGCUCAAAAAUUUUUGGCGCAAACUCAUCUCCAGUUUGAACUGGUGUGUAUGGGCGCUCAAUGAGAUCUGCUUCAGUUGUUGCAUAAGAGCUUUUCUCUAACUCACUAGUUUCUUGAAUGAUUUUGCUGUCUGUUGCAAACCCCCUUAUGCUUUCUUUUUGUGACAUCGCCAUACUCGAUUCUUGAUAAAAUUAAAAGUAAAGCUGCUCAAAUUGUGAAAAAUAAAAGAAAAACCGAAAUGUCUAAUUAAUAUCUGCAAGCAAAAUGGCUUUCAUAAUUUAGCUGCAUUCUUGUCCUACUAAGUUAUGUUU
rnacentral:lncRNA from 1 species